ACAACAGGUCCUCACAGACCCGCUGUCAGGCGUGACUGGGUUUCCAAAGGAAAAUAACAAAGAAAAAUGAUGGCAAUACUCGCAAGGAUGGAAAAGUGUAAAAGUGCUGUUUAAUUUACAGUGCCUUAGAGGUGAAAACCGACCCAACACUAUUUACAAAAAUAACCAAGGAAACACCCGAAAAAAAAAACAAAAAGGAAAGAAAAUAUAAAUAUAUAUAAAGUCCACUACUUUCAGACAGAAUAAAUCGCUUACGGCACCACACUUGCACGCUCGCUAGCCAGGUAAACUGACCCAGAUCUCUCUCUGGGGCACCUUCUUAUAGGCCAAGCCCCGCCCCUUUUUGGACCAUCAUUCACACCGGAGGUAAGUAAACAGGUAAGUAUUUACAUUCACCCCACACAACAUAAUUAUAUAUAUAGACAUAUACCAACUAAAAAGUUCUAGAACCCAAAAUCAAAAGGUAAUCAAAAUAAACACAAAAGAUAAACAAUAAUAAUAAAAACACAGAACAUUAAUAUCAAACUUAAUUAUUCCCCCUGUAGCAAACAGUAUAAUGGUCAAGCCGGCUUCCGGCUGCCCCACGCCGACACGCCCACUCACAGCGGAUCCGGCGCUAUUUAUCCAGGCCGCUGGUGGCGCUCGGGUUCGACCGGCCGAUGAUGUAGAGGCAACGCGGAAGACCGGCAACACAGACGCUGACAAACACUCACAACAGCAAACAGUAUAAUGGUCAAGCCGGCUUCCGGCUGCCCCACGCCGACACGCCCACUCACAGCGGAUCCGGCGCUAUUUAUCCAGGCCGCUGGUGGCGCUCGGGUUCGACCGGCCGAUGAUGUAGAGGCAACGCGGAAGACCGGCAACACAGACGCUGACAAACACUCACAACAGGGAUAGGUCACUCUGUCACA